UACGUAGGUGGCAAGCGUUGUCCGGAUUUACUGGGCGUAAAGAGCGCGCAGGCGGUCGGAUAAGUCGAGUGUGAAAGCCCCUGGCUCAACCAGGGAGGGUCAUUCGAUACUGUUCGACUCGAAGGCAGGAGAGGGAAGUGGAAUUCCGGGUGUAGUGGUGAAAUGCGUAGAUAUCCGGAGGAACACCAGUGGCGAAGGCGGCCAUCUGGACCGCAACUGACGCUGAGGCGCGAAAGCGUGGGGAGCAAACAGG
rnacentral:rRNA from 1 species